AUGAACGCUAGCGACAGGCCUAACACAUGCAAGUCAGGGGCAGCACAAGGAGCAAUCUGAGGUGGCGACCGGCGCACGGGUGAGUAACACGUAUGCAACCUGCCUGUAAGCGGGGAAUAACCCGUUGAAAGACGGACUAAUACCGCAUAAUACUAAAUUACUGCAUGGUAAUUUAUUUAAACAUUUAUGGCUUACAGAUGGGCAUGCGCAUGAUUAGCUAGUUGGAGAGGUAACGGCUCCCCAAGGCAACGAUCAUUAGGAGUUCUGAGAGGAAGGUCCCCCCACACUGGUACUGAGACACGGACCAGACUCCUACGGGAGGCAGCAGUGAGGAAUAUUGGUCAAUGGACGAGAGUCUGAACCAGCCAAGUCGCGUGCAGGAAGAAUGUCCCUAUGGAUUGUAAACUGCUUUUGCAGGGGAAUAAAGUGCAUCACGUGUGAUGUUUUGUAUGUACUCUGCGAAUAAGGAUCGGCUAACUCCGUGCCAGCCGCCGC
rnacentral:rRNA from 1 species